rnacentral:rRNA from 1 species
AUAUUGCAAAAUGGGCGAAAGCCCGAUGCAGCAACGCCGCGUGGGCGAUGAAGGCCUUCGGGUCGUAAAGCCCUUUUUGAGGGGAUGAGGAAGGACAGUACCCUCAGAAUAAGCCUCGGCUAACUACGUGCCAGCAGCCGCGGUAAAACGUAGGAGGCGAGCGUUAUCCGGAUUUACUGGGCGUAAAGCGCGUGCAGGCGGAUUGGAGAGUUGGAUGUGAAAGCUCCCGGCUUAACUGGGAGAGGUCGUUCAAUACUUCCAGUCUUGAGUGCAGUAGAGGGAAGUGGAAUUCCGGGUGUAGUGGUGAAAUGCGUAGAUAUCCGGAGGAACACCAGUGGCGAAAGCGGCUUCCUGGACUGUAACUGACGCUCAGACGCGAAAGCUAGGGUAGCAAACG